GCCCCCAUCGUCUAGCGGUUUAAGGACAUCUCUCUUUCAAGGAGGCAGCGGGGAUUCGACUUCCCCUGGGGGU
rnacentral:tRNA from 1 species